CAGAGGCUGACACCAAACCACAACAACACAACGCUGAAUUACUGAUGACUGGUGGAUGAACCACAGAGGACAGAGAGGCGGACGCACACACAGGGAUUAAACACCACUGUAAAGACACCGGGGCGUCCUCACCUGUGCAGGUCGAGCUCCAGGUAGGGGAAGAUGAGCUUCUCCUUGAUGAGCUCCCAGAUGACACGAGUCAUCUCAUCUCCCUGCAUCUCCACCACGGAGCCGGACUUGAUCUUCUGAGACAUCUUAGAGGCUGGAGGGACACACGGGGACAGAAAGAGACGUCAGGAGACAACAUGUCAGAGAGAGUGGAUGAAGUAUUCUAUUAGUUUACACUGUGUGAAAAUAUAUUAAUCAGCAAAUAUUCAGAUACUAAUUAAUCGUUUAGCUUGUUAUCUCAGUUCCAUGAGUUUGUGGAGGACGGUUUUUAGUUUCCCAACAGAACUUGAUGAAAAAGUUAAAGUGUCUUUAAGGGACUGAUGUUUGUGAGUGUGUGUCUUUCACUGCAGAUCCAAAUGAAAAUCUGGAUCUCGUGAUUCUCCUGGUUUCAUGAGGAGACUGUCUUUUAUUGUUUUCAGCAUUUCAUGAAAAAGACGACUCAUUAAUUACUUUACAGAGAAAACCACUGGAAAACGAAUCCAUUAUGAAAAUAAGCCCAGAAACUGACACCACUGUGAAAAGUGUGACCCUGUGAAUGACUCCACAGUUUCCUCAAUGAAUGAGCUCUUUGAAUCUCUGCAGAAACAGUGACUCAGCACGAAUUUGCUCCACAAUCCUCUUAAGUGGGAGUUCCAGUGUGAAGCCCUGAGGCUCACGUUGCACCAGACAUCUGAACGUCCACUGUCUUUUCUACAAGACAAGAACUGGACCCAGUGGGACAUGUUGAAGUUACGUAAGUCUGCAGCCUGCAGGUGGUGGCCUGAUGGGGAGGAGACACACACACCCAGCCAAUCCAGAGCAACACACUCCAUGCAUCCCCUGUCUCUGCUGUUAUCAUUGAUAUUAAAGAUGAUUAAUGUGUCGUUUUAAAGCAGAAACAUGAAAACAGGAAGGAAGCUGAGGCCUCAGAGGAUCGUCAUGUUUCCUUCGGUCAUGUCUAACACGUCGUUUUCAAUAAAGAUCAGUAGUUUGAAUAUUAUUUA